CGGCGAUCCACUGAGGAAACCAGGUGCAAAUGUGUUUUAUGCGGGCCGAUUGAUAUUAUUUAGCGGAGCAACUGGGCAUGUAAUUACCUGGUCUAUGGUUCCAGACAAGAUGGAAUCCUACUAUUCACCGCAGGUGUACUUCGACAGCCACGGGGAGAAGGUUGUACUGUUUGGAACUGGCGGAGAAACAAUUGGAGGCGCACUUUAUGUGAUCAAACUCAAUGAUUUCAUUCGUGGUCAUAUGCAAAUGGCAAGAUGUUUAUAUAAAGAUUCAUAUAAGGGAGUGAUUACUCCCCCAGUGUU